UCAGUUCAAGGAUGCAAGGUGCCCCUAUUUUUUUACGGUCAAAAGGGGUAGAGAAAAUACCUCAAGCCAAUGUUCGAGUACCAGGCGCUACAACGUUGAAGUCACCCAUGCCAUACUCCUAGGAAAAGCUUGAACGACCUUCAACAAAAGGGUACCUGUACCCGAAACUAACACAGGUAGGUAGGUAAAGAAUACCUAGGGGUGCGAGGCAACUCUCUCUAAGGAACUCGACAAAAUAGUCUC
rnacentral:ncRNA from 1 species